CACCCCCACCCCAGACAACAGAACCCACGGCCCAGGCCGGUCCCGCAGGGCUCUGGCCUCCGCCCUAUGGUGAUUUCCACCCAUCACAGGCCCCUUCUGUGUUUCCUCAGGCUUUUCAGCACCUUACUAUCUCCUAACUGCCCAACCACAGGGCCUCCCGUGGCAGCAAUCUAUCUGGGUGGUUAUUUCUCCAGACAAAACAGAAGAUGCUGAAUUGGUCAAACAAAAACAUCACCCUGAGGACAGAAGAAACGCUAAUGCUUUCAGCCACAGAGGAGGAGGAGGAGGUGAGGCUGGGACUACGGAAGCGGGCCGGCCGGGGAGGCGACUUCCAAGUCUGGUUCUAGAAGGCUGCCGGAGGCAGGCCUUGCAGGGCCACUGCCGGGGCUCUGGGUGUCAGAUGCUGGCCACGCAGGGUGUGCACCGGCUGCUAAAGCCCGAGAAUCGCGUGCCUGCGGGGAGAAGCUCGGCAGGACACAGAUCCCCCUUUCUGCCUUCCUCCCAGCGGGAAAAGGCUCAGGAAGUGCCGGUCUGUCUCAGGAUCUGAAGCCCAGGGCCCGGGCCUUCCCGCGGGCUUCUCCCGUGGACAGGUGACGGAGGACAGAGUUCCAGGUGGACUGGGGACACGGUCAGCCCAGCCCCGUGGGGCAAGUUCACCGGGCCUCACAGGGGAGACCCACCUGUUAGCCAUGCUGCUUCACGGUUUCACCUUCAAUAGCACGUGGUUACUCAAAACACGGUGCUGCUGAGGCUCAAAGUAAGGUGCUCGAUGUAGGUCUGCAGGCAGAGAGGGAGAGCGGCCUGAGGGGCGUGUGUGCCGGCCACCAAGCCACUUCAUUAAACCCCGUCAACAGGCUCAGAAGCUCAGGCUGAAAAACGUAAGGUUUCUUUUUCUUUCUCGUAUCUGAAAAUCAAUAAGCCAGUGUCCUUGAAGAAACACACACGUGGUUUCAGAGGCUUCUCCGAAGGAAAACCCUGGCUGUGCAGCAUCUGACCUCGGAAACCACUCAAGGACACACACACACACGACCACAACAGCAAGGGCACGUUUCCUCGUUGGAGCGCGGCUACGAGGGGUCCACGCGAGGGAGGCUGCCGGGACUCACAGGCCUGAGCCCAAAGGAUCUGGCAGCGUCCGGCAAGUGACCGGACUCCUCCCUGGGAAUCCUGAGGACAAGGCCGGCCGCAGCCAACACACCCAGAGUGGGCCCGCUAAACCCACGCGCUCUGACCAUGCCAAGGGUCAGCAUGCCCUGCAGGGAAGAGAUCUCGGGGAAACCCACACGGGCUGGUUCGGGGGCAGGUGGGAAGCGGGGACAGGAGCAGGAGGGGACACUCUCCGGAACACAGGAAACCUGUGAGCAUUUACCCAAGCAACAGCAGGUGCAUGUGCGCGCGCACACACAACACACACACCCUUGCUCUCGCCCACCAGGCACCCUGCUCCAGGUGCACCUUUGCUCGAGCAGCCCUGAAACAAGGGUGCACCCCCCGCCCAGGCCUCUCGGAACUGCCCCUGCUGCACCCAUGGCUGCUCGCAGGAGGGGGUGCUGCCUGCCUCUGCCCGUGCUCCCGCCGCCAGCGGUCAGCACCGCGCCUGCCCUCGUGUCCUCCACAAGCGCGCCGGGAAGGCAGUUCUGAUGCGCCCGUGUCACCGCCAGUUCCGGAACAGGACACCCCUGACGUGUGGCUACCCGAGGCGGCAGGAUGGUCCCCAGGAAGGUCCCCAGGGCCUGCUCGGCGGGGGGUGGAGGGCAGCUGACCUGGGGGCCGGCGCAGCUGAUCUUGCAGACGUCACAGUAGUGAAGCAGGGGCUGCCUGGGGCCACCCUUGGGCUUCGGCGGCUUUCUGGCCAGGCUGCCGGCAGAACCGGCCCCAGGGCUGUUCCCGGGGCCGCCCCACAGGGAGCCCAUGGGCUCUGGGAGUGGGGGGGGCGGCCGGGGGGGCGGCGGUGAGGGGCGGUGAGGACCGGUUGCCGAGCGCUCGGCCAGGUCACAGCGCGGGUGGCUCGGUCCUAGGAAGCAGAGAGAAAACCCAGACGGGGCGCCGGGUUGGCUGUGGCGCCUCUUCGGGAACGGCCUGUGCGCACACGGAAAUGCGCCCUACCUGCGUCCAGGGCAGACGUGGGGCUGUAGGAGGUCGGGGUGUAGGAAGGCAGGGUGGAGACGGAGGCCGCGGGCAGAGCGCUGGCGGCCGGCAGACAGGUGUCGUUCUCCGUGCAGCUCAGGGCCAGGGUGCUGACUGGCUGUCCUGCGUUAGCGGUGGCCGCCUGCUGCAGGGGCUGCGCUUGGCCGUACCCACCGCCGGGCCAGACAUGCGUUCCUUUAGUCCCUGAGGGCAAACAAAACCUCUCUGCAAAGCCACCCCUCUGCCCCCAACCUCCCCCCUCCCAGCAGUGGGAAUCCCGGCCCCCCGUAGCCGUGGCAACGGGCCUCUCCCGCUGCCUAGAACCAGCAUGGUCCCAGGUGCUACUGGCCUCGAACUUCCUGGAAGUCUCAGCUGCAGCUGGAGGCCAGGGCCCCGGCCUCUCCCACCCCUCAAGUCCAAGUCCUCAGCAGAAACCCCUCCUUCCAGAUCUCCUUCCAGUUCCGUGUCUCUGCCUCUCUUUCCUUCUCUCCCUCUCUCUCCUACACGGGCCCGGCCCUAGUUGAGACUUCGGCGCAUAUUUGAGAAGGCAGCCCUGACAGUCACACGACCCCUGGACCUCCUACGAAUUGGGCAAGUUUAAAAUGUGGCUCCGCGGCGGCUGCUCCCACAGGGAAGCCGGCGGCCCCUUACAGAGGCCCACCUGGCUGGCACGGCACUGCCGAGGCCGGGAGCCGAGGCUGGCUGGCAGCGGGCAGGGGAUCCUGUUUGUUCUCGUAGCUGCCGGCAUCCGUCGCGGGUUUGCGGCUGUAACCGUCCUGCGAGGGGGUUACCCCGGAGAGACACGGAGCAGGGAGAGGGCCCCUCAGGGCAGGGGCAAGGCGUGCCCUCGCCGGCCCCGCACGCGGCUCGGCUCACGUUCACAGUUCCUGAGCUCCGACUCUGACAGGCCGGUUCAGGAGCUGGGGCCGCAGCGACCAGCGAGCUGGACGUGGCCGCUCUCGUGGAAAUGUUGACGUGUGAGGGCAGAAGCGCUGUGGGCAAUGCCCAGCCUGAGACAGCUCGCACGGGAGCAGCGCAGGGAGGGUGGUACGUGAGGAUGUGGGGACAGGGUUCCCCGCAGGGUCAGGACACAGAGGCCCCCACGUGGAGCCAGCUGGUGGGCUUGCAGAGGACGGAGGCGGUCAGAGCGGGGGACUAGGGGCUGGGGUGACAGCUGGGGCCAGGGACUCGGGGAGGGUCUGGGUGACGUGCAAAGGAGCCUUCGGGUCGUCACGUGGAACGGGACCACAGGCAGGUGAGCGUGAAAGCAGGGGUCGGGAGUGGGCCCUGGGGACAGGCAGGAGCUCGGGGGACGGGCUGCGGGGAGACGCCCAGAGGCCUUGGGGAAGCAAAGGCAAGGGACAGAGGAAGAGGGCGGAGCCGAACAGAGCGAGCUCUGCCGGCGGGGCGGCCCGUGGUGCCGUUUGCUGAUGUUAGAGGGGAUGAGUGGUGGGCGGCAGAGCCCCGGGGGUCUGGACCACGUCCGGCGCGGGACGUGCUGGAAGUUCCGAGCGGCUGGAUGUCCAGGCCCAGAGAAGGGGUCGGGGAGAUGGCAGCAGCAGCACCAGAAGUGCCAGAUGGGCUCACGCUCGUCCCCGGCUCCCGGUCACGGGCGGGGACAGGAGCGCGGGGAAGGGCCACCCGCUGCACGCUCCCACUCAACGCUACCCGCGGCUUCAAAGGUGAGGUGCCGGUGAGAGAGAGGCCGGGCUGGUACCUGGUAGGAGGGAGCGGCGCUGGGCGCUGGGGCAGGCUCCGGGGGCCAGCUGGCGCAGGGCUGGUACCCGCCACACCCCGCCACGCUGACAGGCCCGGGGGGCUGGGCGGCCGCGGGAAACGUCGGGGUCGCAGCAGGUCCCGGGGCGAGGCCGGCUCCGGUGGCGGGGAGGGGAAAAGCCGUCGGAGGCUGGGCGCUGGAACCACAGAUAAACACAGGAGCCGGCUGCGUCACGGAGUUCUGGGAACGCCUUCGUGGAAGCUCGUAAGUUCCGUCGGACCCUGAACGUCGGCUGCUCGGGAUGCCGACAGUAAUUCUGUACUUUCUCUACCUACUAGCCUUUGUUAAGGCCUUGCUAAGAGAGCAGGCUUGGUUUUAAGCACUUUUCACGAAUUACCACAAUGUCAUUAACACCUCUGUGCGUUGGGGACCCUCCUUGCCCCCGUUUUACAGGUGAGGAAAACCGAGGCACCGUAAGUGACAAAGUCAGGGCCUGAGCCCACUGGUUGACUUCUCGGCUCAUCCGUGCGGGCAGCAAGCUUUAUCUGGACAUCGACACUCUUCUGACAAAGCUAGACUUGAAUGGUAUUUUGUAACCGAGGAGCCGAUGGAUCCCCCAAUUAUUGAGAUACGGAAAAUCAGUUAACACGAAACUAAAAACUCUUAGUCACGAGAAUGAGUUUCACUGCCGGCUUGCUCUGCAGGACGCACAGCACCGAGGCCUUUGUCCACACCACCUCACUCUCCCCUUACUGCCGUUGAGAAGGCGCCACUGUGACCACCUGUCCCGUUUCCGAAUGAGGAACCUCUGAGGACCAGUGACACAGGUCAAGUGCUUGAUCCAGACCCAGAUCUCUGUGACCCAAGCGCCCCCAUCUGCUAAAUAUCAUCCUCAAAGGUAACAGUCCGUUUGUCUGAGAGGAGCAGCAUCAGAGGUUUUAGCCAACACCAGUAUGGAUCACAGAAGGAAGUUGCCGCAAAGCCAGCCGGGGAUGAGGCAAGGUGCGUGUGUGUGCAUGUGUGUGUGCCCCAGGGCAGGGGGUCCCAAGGACAAAGGCACCGCGGCCAGCACUGCUCGAGCCCCUGGUACUUCCGCACACAUUCUGGACCAAAGCCAGGCAUGCGGUGACGGCUCCUGUCCCUCUAAGUGGCUUGCUGCCCAGCUGGGACGACACACGGAGCGCCCUCCAGGCCGAGCAGAAUGCUGAGCGUCAACCACUCAGAGUAAAGCGCAAAGGUUCCUCGCGGGAGCUGGGGGCCAGCGGAGCCUGGUGCGUCACCCCCACCAGGCACCCGCCCUCUCCUCACUGGCAUCCUGGCAGCCAGAGGGGUCCUCUCACAGCGCCCCCCCGCAUCCCCUCCUGUCAGAUGUGACCUCCUCCAACAAGCCCUCCCCGAGUCAGUCUAGGACAGUGGCAGUACUCUGUCCCCUCGCCCUGCUGGGGUUUUCUUCCCAGUGCCACCCGAUCGUCUCUGUCCCUCCCCCGCAGGAACAGCAGCAUGUCCCAAGGUCUCUCCCAGCACAGCAACAGCAUCGGACACAUAGCAGGUGCUCAGUAAAUACAGACGCGGAGCGUGAGCUUACAGGCGUCCCCCGGGGCACAUGUGUGGGAAACAGGCAGGUGGGGGCGGCCCCUGCGGCUCCCACCUACGGCACGCUUCUAGAUUCGAUUGGAGGCAGUGUCCUGGACCCUCCGGUGCCCCGCGGGCCACUCCCAAGUGCAACGCCACUGUCCAGACAACUCGAAAUCUGCAGCUCUACAGCAAAAGUAAAGCCCAGCCGGAAGCCAACCCUCCAAGGUAACCACUUGUUUUCGUCUCUCCCGGGGAAGGAGCAGCACCCCACCCAUUAGGAGGGACGUUUCGGUUCGAGUCAGCCACUCGUGAGAUUUUUGCUUCUCAGCCUACCGUUUUACAGACUUUCUUGGCCCAAAAGCAGAUCAAGUGGAUGCCUGACCGGCUCUCUGAAUCCCCUCAGCGCCGAGACUUCUGUAUCACAAGACGUUUCAAACAAAGAACACGGUGCACGCCGCUGAGGUGUAGUAAGCGUUGCUAUUUUGCCACAUUUGCUUCCAAGUUUCUUUGAGCAGCGAGAACUCAAUCCCCUCCAUCAGACCCCCUUCCCUCCCUGCCGGGACUGGCCAUGAUCUUUGUGCUCUUGCCACAUUCGAAUUGAGUCUUCAUACAGCA